UAGGCACUACAACAAAUUCAUGAUUUAACGACAUUUACUCCACAGUAUUUAUUUAAAUCAUACUAAUUAAUAUAUUUAACAGCAUUACUUGAUAAUUACCGCUAGAUUUAAUAAUUUAGCAGCAAUUUACUAUUAAUGUUGCAAAAUAGAAUAUAUUAGCAGCAUAAAUUAGUAAACGCCGCUAAAGUUUUCAGUAUUUUAUAAAAAAUGAUACUAAAUGUAACAAAGUAGCAGCGUUUAUUGCUAAAUGUCAUCACUAAUCAAUAUAUAAUUAUUAAUAUAUCUCAUUUUAUACUUAGAAUUUAAAAUUUUGAAAUUAAACUUUAAAAAUUUAGAAUUUGAAUUUUAAAAAUUUGAAACUUAUAAAUUAAAAAAUUUUAAACUUAUAAUUUAAAAUUUAAAAUUUUAAAAUUUUAUAUUUUAAAUUUUAAAUUCUAAAAUUUUAAUUUUAAAUUUUAAGUUUUUUAAAUUUAUCUUAAAUUUAAAUUUUUAAAUUUAAAAUUGUGAAUUUUGAAACUUAAAAUUUGAUAUUUAAAAAUUAAAAAUGUAAAUUUAAUAUCUAAAUUUAGAAUUUAAAAUUUAAAAUUUUAAUGUUUUAAAAUUUAAA
rnacentral:lncRNA from 1 species